AAGGGGCAGGCCUGGCCACAACCUGGAGUGAGCAGAGGGAGGUUCUAGGAUCUUCUCCAUCUCAAACAUGGCCACUGGGGAGCUUCAGUUCAAGGUACAAUAUCCAGGUGCCCAUCAGGAAGAUCGGUAGCCCAAUGUGACUAUCUUCUAUCAAGUGGGAGAUCUGGGCCCUGCUGGGUACGGAGGAGGAGAAAGCAGCCGUGGUUGCAGAAUCUCACAGGGAAGAUACUCAUGUCCUUGAUGCCCUCUGAAGUCUCUCACCACAGAAGAUGAAGGCAGAAAGAACUUUCUAAGUGAAAAGGACCACAGGGGCUCUCAUGUCUUCCAGAACCAUAUGGGUAUGAGCAAGGGGGGACCAGGAGAGAGGCUUCGGGCCACCAAGCAAGAGGAGGCUGCCCGUGGACGUGACUGAUUCCC